rnacentral:rRNA from 1 species
ACCAGACUCCUACGGGAGGCAGCAGUGGGGAAUAUUGCACAAUGGGGGAAACCCUGAUGCAGCGACGCCGCGUGAGUGAAGAAGUAUUUCGGUAUGUAAAGCUCUAUCAGCAGGGAAGAAAAUGACGGUACCUGACUAAGAAGCCCCGGCUAACUACGUGCCAGCAGCCGCGGUAAUACGUAGGGGGCAAGCGUUAUCCGGAAUCACUGGGUGUAAAGGGAGCGUAGACGGCUGUGCAAGCCUGAAGUGAAAGGCGGGGGCCCAACCCCUGGACUGCUUUGGGAACUGUACGGCUGGAGUGCAGGAGAGGUAAGUGGAAUUCCUAGUGUAGCGGUGAAAUGCGUAGAUAUUAGGAGGAACACCAGUGGCGAAGGCGGCUUACUGGGCUGUAACUGACGUUGAGGCUCGAAAGCGUGGGGAGCAAACAGGAUUAGAUACCCUGGUAGAG